AAAAAUUGAGAAAACGAAAUAUAGUCGAUGGUUCGAAAGAAGCACUCACCGAAGGAAGAACACUCAGUUGAAAAAAAAAAGAGAAUAUCAAAGAAAAACUGAGCAAUUGAAAAAGAAAAGAAUAAAACAUAGUGAAAAUAAUAUUAACAUUGUCUUUGAACCCAAAACCACUUGCUUUCCUUUUUGUUUGUAUUUACCACAC
rnacentral:lncRNA from 1 species